rnacentral:lncRNA from 1 species
GGAGAUUGGAUGGGAUGACAUUUUACAUGAUGAUUUUAGUAAAGGCAUAUUUGAGAUGGAGUUAGAAGACGUGGAAGAGGCUGCUGAUGAUGCUGAGCAAGUUGGUGAUGAGGUAGAAUCGAUAAAUUUUCAUGUUUGGUGAAUCACCUGAUUUUCAUAUCAACAACUAUAACAGAAAACGUUAGAAUCAGUGCCGAGUAUGGAAUUAGUUCAGUAUAUGCUGCUGAAAUUUGUACAGAAAUUAUGAAAGUGGAAGUUCCUUUUGUGAAGAAAAGAAAUAAAGCCAUACAAAAUGAACUGUAGAAAAUUGGUGGAUCUUUUUUUUUUUGAUUUGUUUUUACUUGUGGGAAAUAAUGUAACCUGAUAGCUUCCAAGUGGUUUUUUAAGUCGGAAGAGUUUAAGUGGAAACCUAAUUGCUGAACUACUAGAUAGCUUGAUGGUGCUAACUUUUGAGCAUCUUGAAUCAUGUGAAGGCACAGGCUGUUUGAUUGAGGUAUUUUCUAAAUUCUUAUUCCUUUUACUUGCUCUUUGGGUCCUCUUUCUGGCUUGUUUUAAAGAGAUUAAUUGUUGUGGUUAGGUAUUUGAAAUUCUUCUCCAGUCAUUCCAGAUAACUGUUCUAAACACGUACAAGUCAAAGUUCGCUCAGGUAAUGCACAAUUUUUCUUUAUUUUUCAUUGUUUUGGUGAACUUAUAAAGACACUCAGACACACAUCUCUAUGUUUCCAUGUGUGCAUUCUUUCCUUAGUUUUUAGUUUUUUCUAAUUAGUAUUUUUUUAAAUUGGUACAAUCCACUGAUAUAUCACAAGAUGACGUCUUCUAGGAUUGUAGAUAUAUAAUUUAUAGUAUAGCCUAGAAAUCUAUUGAGACUCGGAAAUCUACUCCUACUACUACUGGGGAGAUAUAUCUAUCCUUGUUACACAUUUUGUGGAAAUGGGUUAAGCAGGGGCUCAGACUGAUUGUUGAGGGCACAACGCCCAGUGGCAUAGUUUUUCAGUUUCUUAUUAUUUCAUUUGAUGGAUUUUUCUUCUUUUUUUUUGGGUUGGGGGGGGGGGGGGGGUUGGGGCUGUUUGUGAAAGAACUGCCAUUUUGAAUGUUAUCCCUGAAUCCGUUAUUUAUUUAUUUUAUUUGAAUGCUGUCUGUAAUAAGAAACUGUUGUCUACAUGAUUAAGUGUGACUUUUGAGAUUUAUGAUUUAUCCAUCUAUUUCUGUAGUUGAAGAUGAUUGUUGUUUACACGGAGAACAUGCUAAAGCUGGAGAGUAGUACAAUGGGAGAAUUUGUUAGGAGCACAAUGCUUAUGGCAGUGGUGGAUAGGCUAAUAGAUUUGGAUGUAAGUCAAUGGAACUGCCAUGUAACGUGGUGCUCGAAAAUAAUUUGUGUUUGUAUGAAUAAUCUUAUGUGGUGACAUUUCUUAUAGAUGGAGAUUGGAUGGGAUGACAUUUUACAUGAUGAUUUUAGUAAAGGCAUAUUUGAGAUGGAGUUAGAAGACGUGGAAGAGGCUGCUGAUGAUGCUGAGCAAGUUGGUGAUGAGGUAGAAUCGAUAAAUUUUCAUGUUUGGUGAAUCACCUGAUUUUCAUAUCAACAACUAUAACAGAAAACGUUAGAAUCAGUGCCGAGUAUGGAAUUAGUUCAGUAUAUGCUGCUGAAAUUUGUACAGAAAUUAUGAAAGUGGAAGUUCCUUUUGUGAAGAAAAGAAAUAAAGCCAUACAAAAUGAACUGUAGAAAAUUGGUGGAUCUUUUUUUUUUUGAUUUGUUUUUACUUGUGGGAAAUAAUGUAACCUGAUAGCUUCCAAGUGGUUUUUUAAGUCGGAAGAGUUUAAGUGGAAACCUAAUUGCUGAACUAC